rnacentral:lncRNA from 1 species
CAUAAAAUGUGAUCCACCAUGCCUGUGUGUAAUUGCCUAAGAACUUGAUAAUGGAUACGAGAUUCUAAUUUCGAAGCAUAGUUGAUUUAUAUUUUUCAAAAUAGUUUGCAAUUCAAGAGAGGUCCAUUUUUAAUCUUUAAUUUACUUAUUUGUACGUCUAAGAAUUUAAUAAUCAACACACGAGAUUUCAAUUUUGAAGCGUAGUUAACUUUUUUUUUUUUUUAAUAAGAUGGGUCUAUUUACUUAUGAGUAAAUCUCGAUGAUGAAUCAUCAAAAUUUGUGAAUCUUAUGAACUUAGCAUAGGUCACGUCCCGUCCCUGACAACUUAAGAUCGAAAGAUUUAAACCUUCUCUUCUUCGUGAAAACGGACCUACAAUAAAUUACAUCCUUCAAGACAUAAGUUGAAAGAUAUAAAUCUUUUUCUUCUCCACAAAAAUUGAUACAGCCAAAACAACUGAUAAAAAAGUAAUAUUACCACUCACAAGAACAUAUUUAUUCAGAUAGUCUUUCAAAAACUAUAAAUUUUAUACCUACAUGAUAAGUGUACACUUAGCAUUUUUCUUUAGAAUAUUAUUUCACAUAUUAUUAAUAUUAAUUACUUAAAUAUAUAAAUGUGAGGAAUUUUAAUUAAUAU